CCUACGGGAGACAGCAGUGAGGAAUAUUGGUCAAUGGACGAGAGUCUGAACCAGCCAAGUAGCGUGAAGGAUGACUGCCCUAUGGGUUGUAAACUUCUUUUAUAAAGGAAUAAAACGAGGCACGUGUGCCUUUUUGCAUGUACUUUAUGAAUAAGGAUCGGCUAACUCCGUGCCAGCAGCCGCGGUAAUACGGAGGAUCCGAGCGUUAUCCGGAUUUAUUGGGUUUAAAGGGAGCGUAGAUGGGUUGUUAAGUCAGUUGUGAAAGUUUGCGGAUCAACCGUAAAAUUGCAAUUGAUACUGGCAGUCGUGAGUACAGUUGAGGUAGGCGGAAUUCGUGGUGUAGCGGUGAAAUGCUUAGAUAUCACGAAGAACCCCGAUUGCGAAGGCAGCUUACUAAACUGUGACUGACAUUGAUGCUCGAAAGUGUGGGUAUCAAACAGGAUUAGAUACCCGAGUAGUC
rnacentral:rRNA from 1 species